rnacentral:rRNA from 1 species
GCCUGGGCGGGGUGCUAUAAUGCAGUCGAACGAGUUCUCGUUGAUGAUCGGUGCUUGCACCGAGAUUCAACAUGGAACGAGUGGCGGACGGGUGAGUAACACGUGGGUAACCUGCCCUUAAGUGGGGGAUAACAUUUGGAAACAGAUGCUAAUACCGCAUAGAUCCAAGAACCGCAUGGUUCUUGGCUGAAAGAUGGCGUAAGCUAUCGCUUUUGGAUGGACCCGCGGCGUAUUAGCUAGUUGGUGAGGUAAUGGCUCACCAAGGCGAUGAUACGUAGCCGAACUGAGAGGUUGAUCGGCCACAUUGGGACUGAGACACGGCCCAAACUCCUACGGGAGGCAGCAGUAGGGAAUCUUCCACAAUGGACGCAAGUCUGAUGGAGCAACGCCGCGUGAGUGAAGAAGGCUUUCGGGUCGUAAAACUCUGUUGUUGGAGAAGAAUGGUCGGCAGAGUAACUGUUGUCGGCGUGACGGUAUCCAACCAGAAAGCCACGGCUAACUACGUGCCAGCAGCCGCGGUAAUACGUAGGUGGCAAGCGUUAUCCGGAUUUAUUGGGCGUAAAGCGAGCGCAGGCGGUUUUUUAAGUCUGAUGUGAAAGCCCUCGGCUUAACCGAGGAAGCGCAUCGGAAACUGGGAAACUUGAGUGCAGAACAGGACAGUGGAACUCCAUGUGUAGCGGUGAAAUGCGUAGAUAUAUUGCAAGAACACCAUUGGCGAAGGCCGCUGUCUGGUCUGUAAACUGACACUGAGCUCGAAGCAUGGGUAGCCACACGAUUACUACCCUGGUAGUCCAUGCCGUAACGAGAAUGCUAGUGUUGGAUGGUUUCCGCCCUUCACGCCGCACUACGCAUUAGCAGUCCACUGGGAGUACUACCGCAGGUUGAACUCAAGGAAUGACGGGGUCCUU